GACGAACGCUGGCGGCGUGCUUAACACAUGCAAGUCGAACGCUGAAGCUCAGCUUUUGUUGGGUGGAUGAGUGGCGAACGGGUGAGUAACACGUGAGUAACCUGCCCCCUUCUUUGGGAUAACGCCCGGAAACGGGUGCUAAUACUGGAUAUUCACUGGUCUUCGCAUGGGGGUUGGUGGAAAGGGUUUUUCUGGUGGGGGAUGGGCUCGCGGCCUAUCAGCUUGUUGGUGGGGUGAUGGCCUACCAAGGCUUUGACGGGUAGCCGGCCUGAGAGGGUGACCGGUCACAUUGGGACUGAGAUACGGCCCAGACUGCUACGGGAGGCAGCAGUGGGGAAUAUUGCACAAUGGGCGCAAGCCUGAUGCAGCGACGCCGCGUGAGGGAUGGAGGCCUUCGGGUUGUGAACCUCUUUCGCUCAUGGUCAAGCCGCAACAAUGGUUGUGGUGAGGGUAGUGGGUAAAGAAGCGCCGGCUAACUACGUG
rnacentral:rRNA from 1 species